UCCUUAGAUGUUCUGGGCUGCACGCGUGUUACAAUCGGGAGUACAACAAGAUUGCAAAUCCUAGUGGAUGAGUGGUUCUUCGAAAUUUUCUGAAGACUGGGAUAGUUGAUUGAAAUUAUUCAACUCGAACGAGGAAUUCCUUGUAAUUGUAAUUCAUUAUAUUGUAAUGAAUACGUCCUGCCCUUUGUACACACCGCCCGUCGCUCCUACCGAUUGAACGAUCCAGUGAAUUAUUUGGAGUAGCUCUGGAAGUUGCAGAACUUCCUAUGUCACGAAAUUUUGUAAACCUUAUCGUUUAGAGGAAGGAAAAGUCGUAACA
rnacentral:rRNA from 1 species